rnacentral:rRNA from 1 species
GACGAACGCUGGCGGCGUGCUUAACACAUGCAAGUCGAACGGAAAGGCCCUGCUUUUGUGGGGUGCUCGAGUGGCGAACGGGUGAGUAACACGUGAGUAACCUGCCCUUGACUUUGGGAUAACUUCAGGAAACUGGGGCUAAUACCGGAUAGGAGCUCCUGCUGCAUGGUGGGGGUUGGAAAGUUUCGGCGGUUGGGGAUGGACUCGCGGCUUAUCAGCUUGUUGGUGGGGUAGUGGCUUACCAAGGCUUUGACGGGUAGCCGGCCUGAGAGGGUGACCGGCCACAAUGGGACUGAGAUACGGCGCAGAAUCCUACGGGAGGCAGCAGGGGGGAGUAUUGCGCAGUGGGCGGAAGUCUGAUGCGGCAGCGCCGCGUGCGGGAUGACGGCCUUCGGGUUGUGAACAGCUUUCGAAUGUGACGAAGCGUGCGUGACGGUAAUGGGUAAAGAAGCACCGGCUAACUACGUG